rnacentral:rRNA from 1 species
UACGUAGGGUGCAAGCGUUAAUCGGAAUUACUGGGCGUAAAGCGUGCGCAGGCGGUUUUGUAAGUCUGACGUGAAAUCCCCGGGCUUAACCUGGGAAUGGCGAUGGUGACUGCAAGGCUAGAGUUUGGCAGAGGGGGGUAGAAUUCCACGUGUAGCAGUGAAAUGCGUAGAUAUGUGGAGGAACACCGAUGGCGAAGGCAGCCCCCUGGGUCAAAACUGACGCUCAUGCACGAAAGCGUGGGGAGCAAACAGG